AGCGAACGCUGGAGGCAGGCUUAACACAUGCAAGUCGAGCGGGCACUUCGGUGUCAGCGGCAGACGGGUGAGUAACACGUGGGAACGUACCCUUUGGUUCGGAAUAACGCUGGGAAACUAGCGCUAAUACCGGAUACGCCCUUUUGGGGAAAGGCUUGCUGCCGAAGGAUCGGCCCGCGUCUGAUUAGCUAGUUGGUGGGGUAAUGGCCUACCAAGGCGACGAUCAGUAGCUGGUCUGAGAGGAUGAUCAGCCACACUGGGACUGAGACACGGCCCAGACUCCUACGGGAGGCAGCAGUGGGGAAUAUUGGACAAUGGGCGCAAGCCUGAUCCAGCCAUGCCGCGUGAGUGAUGAAGGCCUUAGGGUUGUAAAGCUCUUUUGUCCGGGACGAUAAUGACGGUACCGGAAGAAUAAGCCCCGGCUAACUUCGUG
rnacentral:rRNA from 1 species